GACCGGGUUCCGCGCUAUCGGUUUUCGCCCAACUCCGCCAGGACCGGAAGGUAGCAGCGGUAAGUGAAUAAUCGGGGAGCCGCGGUCGACUUGGUCGGC
rnacentral:SRP_RNA from 1 species